GAUGAACGCUAGCGGCAGGCUUAAUACAUGCAAGUCGAGGGGUAGCAAGAUUGUAGCAAUACAAUUGUUGACGACCGGCAAACGGGUGCGGAACACGUACACAACCUUCCUACAAGUGGGGAAUAGCCCAGAGAAAUUUGGAUUAAUACCCCGUAACAUAGCGAUGUGGCAUCACAUUGCUAUUAUAGCUUCUGCGCUUGUUGAUGGGUGGGCGGCUGAUUAGAUAGUUGGCGGGGUAACGGCCCACCAAGUCUACGAUCAGUAGCUGAUGUGAGAGCAUGAUCAGCCACACGGGCACUGAGACACGGGCCCGACUCCUACGGGAGGCAGCAGUAAGGAAUAUUGGACAAUGGACGCAAGUCUGAUCCAGCCAUGCCGCGUGAAGGAUUAAGGUCCUCUGGAUUGUAAACUUCUUUUAUAAGGGACGAAAAAAGGUCUUUCUAGAUCGUCUGACGGUACCUUAUGAAUAAGCACCGGCUAACUCCGUGCCAGCCGCCGCGGUAACAC
rnacentral:rRNA from 1 species